rnacentral:rRNA from 1 species
GACGUAGGGCGCGAGCGUUGUCCGGAUUUAUUGGGCGUAAAGAGCUCGUAGGCGGCUUGUCGCGUCGGCUGUGAAAUCCCGAGGCUCAACCUCGGGUCUGCAGUCGAUACGGGCGGACUGGAGUUCGGCAGGGGAGACUGGAAUUCCUGGUGUAGCGGUGAAAUGCGCAGAUAUCAGGAGGAACACCGGUGGCGAAGGCGGGUCUCUGGGCCGAUACUGACGGUGAGGAGCGAAAGCGUGGGGAGCGAACGG